UUCGGUGUGGCUCAGUGGUGGUAGAGUCUGUACCUGGAAUGUGCAAGGCCCUGGUUUCAAUCCCAGUGCUGAAA
rnacentral:tRNA from 1 species